UACAGAGGGGUGCAAGCGUUUGUUCGGGAAUUACUGGGCGAAAGCGUGUGUAGGUGGUUGCCAUAGUCAGGUGUGAAAGCCUUGAGCUCAACUCAAGAAAUGCACUUGAUACUGGGCAGCUAGAGGACCGGAGAGGAUAGUGGAAUUCCCAGUGUAGUGGUGAAAUACGUAGAGAUUGGGAAGAACACCAGUGGCGAAGGCGGCUAUCUGGACGGUUUCUGACACUAAGACACGAAAGCGUGGGGAGCAAACAGGG
rnacentral:rRNA from 1 species